GCUGGGUGUGGUGGUGCACUCCUGUAAUCCUAGCAGCAUGGGAGGCUGAGACAGGAGGAUUUCAGGUUCAAAGCCAACCUCAGCAACAGCAAGGUGCUAAGCAAUUCAGUGAGACCUGGUCUCUA
rnacentral:sRNA from 1 species